rnacentral:rRNA from 1 species
UACGAAGGGGGCUAGCGUUGCUCGGAAUCACUGGGCGUAAAGGGCGCGUAGGCGGAUCUUUAAGUCGGGGGUGAAAGCCCAGGGCUCAACCCUGGAAUUGCCUUCGAUACUGGAGAUCUUGAGACCGGAAGAGGUAAGUGGAACUGCGAGUGUAGAGGUGAAAUUCGUAGAUAUUCGCAAGAACACCAGUGGCGAAGGCGGCUUACUGGUUCGGUUCUGACGCUGAGGCGCGAAAGCGUGGGGAGCAAACAGG